rnacentral:misc_RNA from 1 species
UACCUGAUGAGCACCGAG